rnacentral:rRNA from 1 species
GGCGUUAGGCGGCAGGCUACACAUGCAGUCGAGCGGUAGCACAGGGGAGCUUGCUCCCCGGGUGACGAGCGGCGGACGGGUGAGUAAUGUCUGGGAAACUGCCUGAUGGAGGGGGAUAACUACUGGAAACGGUAGCUAAUACCGCAUAACGUCGCAAGACCAAAGAGGGGGACCUUCGGGCCUCUUGCCAUCAGAUGUGCCCAGAUGGGAUUAGCUAGUAGGUGGGGUAAUGGCUCACCUAGGCGACGAUCCCUAGCUGGUCUGAGAGGAUGACCAGCCACACUGGAACUGAGACACGGUCCAGACUCCUACGGGAGGCAGCAGUGGGGAAUAUUGCACAAUGGGCGCAAGCCUGAUGCAGCCAUGCCGCGUGUGUGAAGAAGGCCUUCGGGUUGUAAAGCACUUUCAGCGAGGAGGAAGGUGGUGAGCUUAAUACGCUCAUCAAUUGACGUUACUCGCAGAAGAAGCACCGGCUAACUCCGUGCCAGCAGCCGCGGUAAUACGGAGGGUGCAAGCGUUAAUCGGAAUUACUGGGCGUAAAGCGCACGCAGGCGGUUUGUUAAGUCAGAUGUGAAAUCCCCGGGCUCAACCUGGGAACUGCAUUUGAAACUGGCAAGCUAGAGUCUCGUAGAGGGGGGUAGAAUUCCAGGUGUAGCGGUGAAAUGCGUAGAGAUCUGGAGGAAUACCGGUGGCGAAGGCGGCCCCCUGGACGAAGACUGACGCUCAGGUGCGAAAGCGGUGGGGAGCAAACAGGAUUAGAUACCCUGGUAGUCCACGCUGUAAACGAUGUCGAUUUGGAGGUUGUGCCCUUGAGGCGUGGCUUCCGGGAGCUAACGCGUUAAAUCGACCCGCCUGGGGAGUACGGCCGCAAGGUUAAAACUCAAAAUGAAAUUUGACGGGGGCCCCGCACAAGCGGUGGGAGCAUGUGGUUUUAAUUUCUAUGCAACGCGAAAGAAGCCUUUACCUACUCUUGACAUCCAGAGAAACUUUACCAGAGAUGCUUUUGGUGCCUUCGGGAACUCUGAGACAGGUGCUGCAUGGCCUGUUCCUCAGCUUCGCGUC